rnacentral:rRNA from 1 species
UCCAGACUCCUACGGGAGGCAGCAGUCGGGAAUAUUGCGCAAUGGAGGAAACUCUGACGCAGUGACGCCGCGUAUAGGAAGAAGGUUUUCGGAUUGUAAACUAUUGUCGUGAGGGAAGAAAUUGACAGUACCUCAGGAGGAAGCUCCGGCUAACUAUGUGCCAGCAGCCGCGGUAAUACGUAGGGAGCAAGCGUUAUCCGGAUUUAUUGGGUUUAAAGGGUGCGUAGGCGGGCUGUUAAGUCAGCGGUCAAAGGUCGGGGCUCAACCCCGGCCUGCCGUUGAAACUGGCGGCCUCGAGUGGGCGAGAAGUAUGCGGAAUGCGUGGUGUAGCGGUGAAAUGCAUAGAUAUCACGCAGAACUCCGAUUGCGAAGGCAGCAUACCGGCGCCCGACUGACGCUGAGGCACGAAAGCGUGGGUAUCGAACAGGAUUAGAUACCCUAGUA